AAGGCGCCGUUACAUGGCAGUCGAACGGAUNACAGCUUCCUUCGGGAAGCUGACGAGUGGCGCACGGGUGCGUAACGCGUAUGCAAUCUGCCUUGUACUGGAGUAUAGCCCAGGGAAACUUGGAUUAAUCCUCCAUAGUCUAUAUGAUUGGCAUCAUUUAUAUAGUAAAGGUUACGGUACAAGAUGAGCAUGCGUCCUAUUAGCUAGUAGGUGUGGUAACGGCACACCUAGGCUUCGAUAGGUAGGGGUCCUGAGAGGGAGAUCCCCCACACUGGUACUGAGACACGGACCAGACUCCUACGGGAGGCAGCAGUGAGGAAUAUUGGACAAUGGGCGAAAGCCUGAUCCAGCCAUGCCGCGUGCAGGAAGACGGCCCUAUGGGUUGUAAACUGCUUUUAUACGGGAAGAAUAAGGCCUACGUGUAGGCUGAUGACGGUACCGUAANAAUAAGCACCGGCUAACUCCGUGCCAGCAGCCGCGGUAAUACGGAGGGUGCAAGCGUUAUCCGGAAUCAUUGGGUUUAAANGGUC
rnacentral:rRNA from 1 species